CACCAGGGGCAGGAUGGCGCUACUAGCACCAGUAGAACAUCGCGGCCGUCUUCAAGUUGGUUAACGUUGAGUUUUGUGCGCUGCUAUUUUUCCAUCAAUCACCUCCAUAUUGAUACACUUUCCAGCUUAUUACCGCAGAAAUCGAUGUGGGAAUCUGUCAAGAGAAAAUGAAAUAACAUUUGCAAGGAUUUCAAAUAGCGGUAUUUUCGCCGUGGUUUACAACAAGUCAUUGGAAUGGAGCCAGGGAACUCACCUCAUGCCAACAUAGGUUAUAGAAGCUAGCGCAUAGAUGAUGGUCACCUAUUCUGAUAUUGGCCCCACCAAAUAUUACUGAAGUGUACGGAUCACACUACCAUAAUAUGGAACGCCCUAUGCAGAACAGUGUGAAUAAACCUCCCAUGGCCGAGUGGAUAGGGUAAAUUACUGUAUAAUCAGGUGUCUCCAGUUCGAGUCUUCUCUCGUUAAGAACGAGGUACAGCGGUGUGAGUGGGGUAUCCAACAUAAAUGCCCACGAGGUGCCAUUGACAAACAUCCGGAAACUCGCUCACUCCAGUUGAAUCGAGGCUGGGAUUAGUCACUUUAAUAUACUGACACCAGCGUGGAAUAUCUUGUCUGGGUCCAGAAGAAUAAGGACAAAUGAGAUCUGCAGUUUCACCAUCAACACUGGAGAGAUCAGGAUCAAUAAAGCCAAAUAAUAUGUCAUGAAUUCUGUAAAGUUAGUUUUUUUCUAUCAUAAUUAGCUUUCAUUCUCAU